UAUUUUUUGAAAAAAAUAAAUACUUCUCAUUUAUUAACAAUAAACAUCCUCACCUACUUGGUGUGUAAAUACUAAAUACAACACUCAAUUAUAUUAAAUCCAAACAGUGUUUUCUUUCUUAUUUUUAUAAAAAAUAAUAAAAUGUAAAUUUACUUAAUUAACCUCUAAACCAUCUAUAUAAGCACCAAAGAUUGGGAGAAAGAAAAUAAAAAAAGUUAAAUUGAGAAAUAUAAUUUCUAGCUAUAUAUUAAUAUUAUGGAGAAAAAGAAUAUUAAUGUUAAUUUUGUGAAGUGUUUGGCUAUGGCCAUGAUAGCAUUGUGCCUUGUUCUUUCUUUUCUUCCAUCCACUUUUGCAAUUGAAGGUUCUCGAAAAGUACUUUCUUCGAACGACGGCAACGAUAGGGUUCCUCUAUUGAGCAUAUUAUCGAUGGAAGGAAACAGUAUUUGUGGUACAUGCAAUAAUAGGGUGUGUCCUCGUGGAUGUACUUGUUACGCAGCAGAUUGGCCUAUUGGAUUUUAUUGUGCUGGAAAUUGUUGUUAAGGAGUACUAACUUGUUUUGUUUGGCAAUGUAAUAUAGUAAUUAGUAACAUUAUUUAGUAUGUUACUUUGGAAAACAAAUUAAAAUGUUGUCAAACAAUAAUCAUAAAUGUAAUAUGUUAUGUUAAGUGUGUGUUAUUAUAUAUUUAUGAAUAAGCAAUAUGCAAUGCAUGCAUGCAUGCCUAUCAUUGUGGUUGUAGUGUGUUUGGUUGUAUGAAUAAAUGUAUAAGAAGGAAAUGAUGACUACCUUUUGUAACCUUAUAAUACUUGUCAUUAUCAACAAUUUAAUAGAAGAAUGUUGAUAGAUUAAGAAAAAACAAUAAUGAAUAGUUACUACAAAGAAAAGUUUAUCUUUAGUUGACGACUUUUUAAUUAUAAUAUAAUUUUUUUGUGAUUAAAUGUAACUUUAGUCACAAUAAAAAGUUACUUGUGACUAAAACAUAGUAUUUAGAUACAAUUGUCACUAAUCUAGUUUUAGUCACAAUAAA